rnacentral:rRNA from 1 species
GACGAACGCUGGCGGCGUGCUUAACACAUGCAAGUCGAACGAUGAAGCCCAGCUUGCUGGGUGGAAGAGUGGCGAACGGGUGAGUAACACGUGAGUAACCUGCCCUUGACUCUGGGAUAAGCGCUGGAAACGGCGUCUAAUACUGGAUACGACCUAUCACCGCAUGGUGUGUGGGUGGAAAGAUUUAUCGGUUUUGGAUGGACUCGCGGCCUAUCAGCUUGUUGGUGAGGUAAUGGCUCACCAAGGCGACGACGGGUAGCCGGCCUGAGAGGGUGACCGGCCACACUGGGACUGAGACACGGCCCAG